GAAAAAGUGGCGCAGCAGUCACGCAAACGUGUGCACAAGUGCAGCCCAAUUUGAAUCCCCAAUUUGAAGCCCAAUCGAUUCACACCUCGAUGGACUACUCACUAAAAUCAUCAACAUCAUUCGAGAGGAAGUGCUGGAUUAUGAGGUGAAACAUGUGGCCUUCCGAUGCCUCUACUUUAUAUCGAAAGUCAGGGGCUACAAAGUUGUAGCAAGACAUCUUCCUCAUGAGACUGCCGAUCUGGAGCCUUUGCUACAUUACUUGGAAAACCCAAGACCCUGGUGUGCAACUAAAAUGGGAGACUCAUUACGGCUUGCUUCUCUGGCUCAGCAUUGCAGUUAAAAUCCCAUUCCACCUUCAGUGAUUUGACACCAGUACUUCAGAGCCAAUCAUGGAAAGAAUUCAGAAUGUCUGUAAGAAAUACCUGGCUGGGACAACAAAAGCUCAGGACAUGGCCUUUUAUGUAUCGGCAAUCUAUCUUACAAGGCCUGAUGUCAAAGAUUCCUAUCUAGUACUGGGAUACAUCAAUUGGGCUCAUGAGGCUCUUACCAAAGAUAGUGCUCAGUUCAAAAAAGGAGUUCUUUCAACGUUGGCCGGCGUAUUCAAAUAUGGGCAAAGAGAACAAAUGAUGGAGCAUGCACAUGCUGUGCUGCGUACCAUCCUGACGAUUAAAUUCCAAUCGUCAGAAUUGCUUAUACAGUUAAGAAACCGUUGGUGAAGCUGACGCAGCGAUAGGUUUGAUAUUCUUGAAACCUCGAGUUGCCUCUUGGAGAUACCAGCGGGGCAGCAGAUCAUUAGCUGCCAAUCUGCAACAGAGCCAACCCAUUGAGACUAAAGCAGCUAUUUCGGUGAAUGAUGAAGAUGACCACGAUUACGACGUGCCGGAAGAAAUCGAAGAAGUACUUAACGAGAUCCUGCAAGCCCUCCGAGACAAGAACCGUGAAGUCCAGUACUCUGCAGCAAAAGGCAUUGGGCGGCUGACCAGUCACUUAUCAAAGAACUUUGCCGACCAGGUAAUUGAAUCGAUCAUGGAACUUUUUUCACUCUGGGAGUCGGAUAUGGCCUGGCACGGAGGAUGUUUGGCUUUGGCCGAAUUAGCCCGUCGUGGAUUGCUGUUGCCCCAGCGAUUGUCUUCUGUCUUGCCUUUUGUGGAGCAGGCCAUGCUGUACGAUGAGUUACGCGGUAACUUUCCCGUUGGCUCGGCUGUACGUG